rnacentral:rRNA from 1 species
UACGAAGGGGGCUAGCGUUGCUCGGAAUCACUGGGCGUAAAGGGUGCGUAGGCGGUCGUGACAAGUCACUUGUGAAAUCUCCGGGCUUAACUCGGAACGGUCAAGUGAUACUGUCGGACUAGAGUACAGAAGGGGCAACUGGAAUUCUCGGUGUAGCGGUGAAAUGCGUAGAUAUCGAGAGGAACACCUGCGGCGAAGGCGGGUUGCUGGGCUGAUACUGACGCUGAGGCGCGAAAGCCAGGGGAGCGAACGGG